rfam:Stegodyphus mimosarum contig110816, whole genome shotgun sequence.
GCCUUUGUGGUGUAGUGGUCAGCACGAUCGACGUGUAUUCGAGAGGUCCGUGGUUCGAGUCCGGGCGAGGGCA